GGAGACUGCUGUGGUGGCUGUGCAAUAUUUGAAGAAGUCCAAAUAGUGGUCUUAAGUGAAGCUUUCAGAACAUGUUGCAGGAAGGUUGAUUCGCAUGGGGGAAGUUUGGCACAGCUAGCAUCUUUUUGUUUAGCUUUCUUUACACGGAGUUUAUUCAAAUCACUGUGGUCAAAUUUAGCUUUCCGUUUUUGGUCAUAGAGCCUUGCAACAAAUGUCCGACUGAUAUCAAUAGAUUUAUCAAUGUCACCGC
rnacentral:lncRNA from 1 species